GCGCCGAUAGUCUAGCGGUAGGAUAUCAGCUUGCCAAGCUGACGACCCGGGUUCGAAUCCCGGUCGGCGCA
rnacentral:tRNA from 1 species